rnacentral:rRNA from 1 species
UACGUAGGGCGCGAGCGUUGUCCGGAAUUAUUGGGCGUAAAGAGCUCGUAGGCGGCCUGUUGCGUCCGCUGUGAAAUCCCGGGGCUUAACCCCGGGCGUGCAGUGGAUACGGGCUGGCUAGAGGCAGGCAGGGGAGAACGGAAUUCCCGGUGUAGCGGUGAAAUGCGCAGAUAUCGGGAGGAACACCGGUGGCGAAGGCGGUUCUCUGGGCCUGUACUGACGCUGAGGAGCGAAAGCGUGGGGAGCGAACAGG